GGGGAAUUUUCCGCAAUGGGCGAAAGCCUGACGGAGCAAUACCGCGUGAGGGAGGAAGGCUCUUGGGUUGUAAACCUCUUUUCUCAGGGAAGAACACAAUGACGGUACCUGAGGAAUCAGCAUCGGCUAACUCCGUGCCAGCAGCCGCGGUAAUACGGAGGAUGCAAGCGUUAUCCGGAAUGAUUGGGCGUAAAGCGUCCGCAGGUGGCUGUGUAAGUCUGCUGUCAAAGAGCAAAGCUCAACUUUGUAAAGGCAGUGGAAACUACACGGCUAGAGUGCGUUCGGGGCAGAGGGAAUUCCUGGUGUAGCGGUGAAAUGCGUAGAGAUCAGGAAGAACACCGGUGGCGAAGGCGCUCUGCUAGGCCGCAACUGACACUGAGGGACGAAAGCUAGGGGAGCGAAUGGGAUUAGAUACCCCAGUAGUCCUAGCUGUAAACGAUGGAUACUAGGCGUGGCUUGUAUCGACCCGAGCCGUGCCGUAGCUAACGCGUUAAGUAUCCCGCCUGGGGAGUACGCACGCAAGUGUGAAACUCAAAGGAAUUGACGGGGGCCCGCACAAGCGGUGGAGUAUGUGGUUUAAUUCGAUGCAACGCGAAGAACCUUACCAAGGCUUGACAUGUCGCGAACUCUUCUGAAAGGAAGAGGUGCCUUCGGGAGCGCGAACACAGGUGGUGCAUGGCUGUCGUCAGCUCGUGUCGUGAGAUGUUGGGUUAAGUCCCGCAACGAGCGCAACCCUCGUUUUUAGUUGCCAGCAUUAAGUUGGGCACUCUAGAGAGACUGCCGGUGACAAACCGGAGGAAGGUGGGGAUGACGUCAAGUCAGCAUGCCCCUUACGCCUUGGGCUACACACGUACUACAAUGCUACGGACAGAGGGCAGCAAGCUAGCGAUAGCAAGCUAAUCCCAUAAACCGUGGCUCAGUUCAGAUCGAAGGCUGCAACUCGCCUUCGUGAAGGAGGAAUCGCUAGUAAUUGCAGGUCAGCAUACUGCAGUGAAUUCGUUCCCGGGCCUUGUACACACCGCCCGUCACACCAUGGAAGCUGGCAACGCCCGAAGUCAUUACUCCAACCUUUCGAGGGGGAGGAUGCCUAAGGCAGUGCUGGUGACUGGGGUGAAGUCGUAACAAGGUAGCCGUACCGGAAGGUGUGGCUGGAUCACCUCCU
rnacentral:rRNA from 1 species